UCGAAAUGGUGGACGUAUCGGGACGCAAGUUCCCGAGAGGAGACGAAGGACGAUAAACUGGGCAAGGGCCCAUCAUCCGUGUCAUCGGUAUUAUCAAAUCGGGAACACGAUUAAUCGCGAAUAUUGGUGUAAUAUCAAGGUGGACCGACGACGACAAAGCUGGCGCAGGAGCAUCAGUGACAGUGUCUCUUGUUUACUGAAGUGUCAAUCCGCCCGUAUUGUACGUGUGUUCUCUAGGUGCGAGAAAACAGAGGGAUAGUGUGUGUCGAGUGCGCGAGACCCACAGUUAUACGUAUCGUUGUUUUUGAUAGCAAGCUACUAGAACAGUGCCCGGAAACGGCAAAAUACUUUUCGGACAACCGAUCCAGGGGAAAGAAAAGCGAGGGAUCGUGAACAGACGGCAGUGCAUUUGCAGUGAAAAUUUUCAAGCCCGCGGAAGCAUGUUCGAGUACGCGAGAGCUUUGGUGAUCUAUAAGAAUGUGUCACAUCGAGCAUCUUGUUAUCAGCGAAGGAGAUAAGAUACUUCCUUAACGCACAAAAGUUUUAUAAUACGUACAAAUGCAAACACAACUGUAAUCUUUUGCAAUAAAUGUACUACAAUACUCAAGAGGCA